CGGUAUAGAAACAGCAGAUGGCGCCACAGGCGCGGGGGGAGGGUUUCCAUCCGGGUCAACUGUCGUGGCCGUUUAGCACAGCGUCGCUGCUGGUGAGCAGGUGACUGAUCUUCAGUUCCAGCAUUAGGUUUGAUCAUCCAUGCAGGAAAUCAGUUUCCAACAUGAGACUGUGCUGUCAGAUGUUCACAUGCUCCGUCCCGGUGGACGCCACCUUAUGACACACCUCAACAACGUUGGCCAACCUGUCUUCGUGUCUAGGUUCGUGAUCCUGGCAGAAAGAUGUGACGAGCCAGGGAGUGCCGUAGAACAUGAAAGUGAAACCAGCCAAACAGUCAAACAAGCCACUGAAGAGCCUGAUGGAGAGGACAGAAAAGUAGAGUCGCUCUUGGAUUUCGAUGGAGAUCUUGACAUAAUACAUCGGUAUGCAAAAACAUUUUCUCAGUCAGCUAUUAUAAGCUGCUGGUUUGCUUGGGAAGGGUGUCAUACAGGUUAAGACCAUCCAUAUACUAUUUCAACAUCUUCAGAUCGUUUGUUUUAUUAAUGUGUUCAUUAUCAUUGUGUAGAGUGCAGCAAAUGUUACAAACCUAGUAGAGCAACUUCAUCUUUACCUUAGAAAUCGGUGUGCAGCGACGGAUUCAUAAGUUGUGGAAGAAGAACACAAAACAUUAAAUUAAUUAAAUAAACAUUAAAUAAUCAAACAUUAAACUCAAACUCCCACCCAUCUGCAUAUUACUGCUCAACUUCCUGCGUGGACUCGGUGGUGCUCCGGGGCGUUGACACUGUGGGCCCUGAAUUCACUUUGUUGGGUUAUGUGGAAUGGGGGUGACUGCUGAGCCGGUUGUUUGCUGGCUUUCUCCUUCCAGGGAUAGUCUUCUACCUGCCGGCCCUCCCUCUCCCCACUGUCUCAUACAACACAUCACUCAACAUGUAAAGUGUGAGUGAGGGGGGGUCGUGGGUUGCGUAGGUUGUAGCGUGUAGGGCCAUUCACGUGGCUGUGCUGGCUGCGCUGCGCGCUAACCCGCCCCUCCUUUUUAAUUGCUCCGUAGUCAUUACAGUGCAGCACACAGACUGAACAAGUCACCUGGAUGAGUGAGGAAACUUUUCUCCCACUGAAAACUUUGUCUGUCUUUUGUUUUAAUCCAUUCAUCAUCAUCAUCAUCAUCAUCAUCAUCAUCAUCAUCAAACCAGAAUGUCUGUAUUACAUAACAAAGAGAGAGUAUAUGGUCUGCAGUUCCAAUUGAAACGCACAGAAUGAGCUGUGUUUUUCUUUUUUGCUUCAGAAGGACAUUUUAGAUAUAUUGUUCAAACCGUGUCAGCUCAAUUUUUAUAAAUUUGGUGUAAGAUGAAAUUCCUGUUUUGCCUUUCAGGAAAUAGUUUGUUGGUGAAACAGUUUCUUUAAGAAAAAUGAUUCUUAGAUUUCUUGACAUCCUUUGGAUUGACACUGUAGGCCUAGAUGUUGAUUUGCUGCUAUAUUUUUGUUAGAAAUGCAAAUUAUUUGUGUAGUGCGUCAGUGAAAUAUGAUUUUGAAGGAUUUAAAGUGUGUUUAGGAGAGUUGUUCAUAAUCUAAUAAUCACUAGCAUCUAUUAAAGCAGACCAUACAUUCUCUCAAACCACACUUUGCAGGGCCGACUCUUGAACAUGAUGUCCUUAUUAUUCCAGUUUAUCUUCUGUGUGAUGACAACUUGGAACACACAGUAGAUUCCAUCAUACCAGUGUUUGUUUGUGGAAGUCUGCUGUGUUUGGUAGAACUUGGUGCUUCUAAUAAAGACAUUUCUGGGAUCUCAUUUCCCCCCAGUCUAUUAAAGUAGUAGGCUUUGUUAAGAAAGAAGGGUCCAAUCACACCAUGUACUUCUAAUGGUGUAGAUUUUUACAUACAACACACAAAAGUACACACUGAGAGUACGUGUAGUGAAUCCAGGUGUUUCAGUUGCUUCCAUGGUGACAGGUGUAUUAAAUCAAGCACCGGGGCACGCAGGCUGCUUCUACAAACAUUCGUGAAAGAAUAGAUCACUCACAGGAGCUCAGUGAAUUCCAGUGUGCUACCAUAAUAGGACGCUACCUGUGCAACAAGUCCAGUCAGGAAAUUUCCUCGCUACUAAAUGUUCUACAGUUAGCUGUUAGUGGUAUUACAACAAAGUGGAAGCGAUCUGGAACAACUGCAUCUCAACCACGAAGUGGUAGGCUUCGUACUCAGAGAGCAGGGCAGUGGGUGCUUGGCCAUAUUUUGCUCUUGGUUUGCCAACUCACCAGAAUUUACCGCUUCAGACAUCCAAACUUCAUGUGGCGUUUAGAUUAGCUCCAGAAAAAUGUGUGGAGUGGGUUUCCAUGGCUGAGCAGCUGCAUCUAAGCAUUACAUCAUAAAGUCCAUAAAGAUAUGGAUGAGUGAGUUUGGUGUGGAAGAACUUGACUGGUCUGCACUGACCUGAACCUGAUACAACACCUUUGGGAUGAAUUAGAGUGGAGACUGUGAGGCAGGCCUGCUUUGUAAGGAAGCUUACCAGAAUAAAACCUUACCAGAGGAGUCGAGGCUGUUAAAGCUGCAAAGGUUGGUUUGACAACAUAUUAAACCCUGUGGAUUAAGGAUGGGAUUGGGUUGCUUGUGAAGGAUCAGUGACACAGAAUGUGGCAGCCACAAGGUUAAGUCUGGAUGGCCUACAAGCUCAUGUUAAGUGAGAAUUUCUUCCCAGCUGCUGCUACUGUUUGCAGGAAGGCCUGUUGGCUCCUGUUGGCCCUUUUUGUCCACUGUUGUCUGUCAUGUUCAGUCGGUUCCCUCCCACGUGUCACCGCUGACACUGGAGCCUCUCCCAGCAUACUUGGGUAUCUACUGGCAGCAAUAUGACGUCAUAUGCAAAACAUUUCUUUGUCACUUUGGAAUGAAUCGGAUCGCUGCAAUGGUUUUCAGAGAGAAGGUCUUACAUCUGAUGCGAUCUUGGAGAAACAAAGCGAACCAAAACUAAAUUGCAGGAUCCACUUUAUCCUGAAAAAUAAAAAAAUGUUGCUUUCUGGUCAACUUCUGGUCAACUUUCUUGGGAACUUCAGGUGGCAUGUGUAGCUGCAUUCACUGCUUCUUGCUUUAAAGGCUUACUGAUGCUCACAUGGUCUGAAAUCAGACGUAGGAGUCACCUCGACCUUUCAUUUCCCCCACAUCAGAUUUACUGGCUGCCCACAAUUACUCCAGGAUAUCCCAGUUCUGGAGAGUCUGGUGUCAACUGGCAUGGAAGUGCUUUUUAGCAGCUGCAGUUUUUACAACACUAAUAUUUGCUGUCAGACGGGUCCUAAACACCUCAUUGCAAUGUUUUACCCCUGGAAUGUCAGUUUCUUCCCAGUGUUUGUAUCGUUGCACUAAUUUUAGUCAUGGCCCCGAUUGCUUUGUUCAGUUUUGGAAAGAGAAACAUGUAUUCUAUGAAAACAGUUUUGUCCAGUCAGAAUUAGGACGGAUGGAAACUUGAGGCGACUGUUGUGAUUUGGUGCUAUGUAAACACAAUGAGUUGAGUAGAAUUACCCUGGCUGCACAGUUUCCUGCAUCUCUGUACCAUUUUUAUCAAACCCCACUCAUCAGCUCCCUCGGACCCUUGUGCUGUAAGAUGUAGUGAGUUUGUUUCUAUGUGAUCAGAUGUGUCUGUGUGUCGCUGUGCAAGCUUCACCAGUUCAUCACAAACAGGAAACUCAGCAGUCUGUUGGAAUCUCCACUCACACGCAUACAGCACCGGAUCAGGUUUAACCAUCUGCAACAUUUCGUUCACUCGUGUUAAAUCAAGCAAUCUCUCCCUGACAUGAUGGCAGUCAACUAGGUUACAUGUCUAAUCUUAACCCAACAAGCUGAGAGGACAGAUGACAACAGAAUGUUUCAAAGAUCCAUAUAAAAGACUUCAUGUAGUAUUGUUCAAUCAUUAGAAAGCAUCUUACAAUUUUAUUACCCACUAAGUGUAUUGACGGUAGCACCAGAGGCUACUAAAUAGUCAACCUAUUGUCCUGCAACCUGGAGAGUUACCUCUCUGUCAGCAGUUGCUGAACUCAGCAUUUAAGCUUUUCAUUUUUAACAGUGAUGAGAGACAUGGCCAUGUUCAUGACCAUAAGCUAGUCUUCACUGCAUGUGUGUGUGUGCCUGUUAGUAGGCAGGUUAGUGCAUUGUGUGUGUGUGUCAUCAUCUUCUUUUUGUUGCUAUGCCGAGGACCAUUCUCUCUCUCAGCCUCCAAGUCAGUUGGCCUCAGUCUCCUGCUUUUCAGGACAGUCCUGAGCCUUCAUUGCCUUCAUUGGUCCUCCAGGUUCUCUUCUGCUGCUGUCGCCACUCCCACAUCCUGCAUUGCUUCAUGGUUGUGACAUGUACAUUGUCAGUUUUUCUUCAGCUUUCUCUUCCACAACCAUUUUAACUCCACGUGUUGCACAUCUCAAACUCAAUCUUUUAAAGUCCAUUCACACACAGUGAUUUUGAAGCCUCUGAUUUAGAGGACAGCUCUCUAUCCAUAGUAGAGUUUGUAUAUGCUGCUGCUCCUUUAAGGUCGAGGGCAAUGCCGCUAUCUGGCCACCUGCUGUUGACUCUUGAUGUCAAUGAAGUUGCUCUGGAAGUGUAUUGUGCCAGCUGGGGGAGUUUGGUUGUCGCUGAAGCUUGUUUUCCUGGGUCAUCUGGCAUCGAAACCAAACCAACUGUCUGAGAAACAUUGAAAGAAGGUUAAAACCUUUUCAAUAUCAAAGGUUGUGUGAGUACAGUCUUGUCUAUGGGAGUGAAAUGGGGCUGGGUGUGAGAUUCCCACCAUCAUGUAGGCACCAGCUUGAUAACAAAGCAUGUUGUACCCUUGAGCAAAGCUUGCAGUCAGUUGUUUUCUCAUCUUCAUACACUGUGUUUGUAGAAGAAAGUUACAAAUACAUAUCAACACUACACAGGUUAGAUGAGGUGAGAGACAAACACCACACAUCUUCAGCUCUGUCUUGUGUCAGUGAUGUGUCGUCAUCUGGUUUGUUGUAGUCAGUAGACUUACAUUAGUUUAUGUCAGCUCACUAGUAGAACCAAUAACUCGGGAGCCUAAGGACACUCAAACUAAUAAUACGUUUAAUGAGUUUUAUGUUAAGAAAUCAAGGAUAUACUGUCUACUUUCACUGUUUGUGUCUUUAGCGGUCAUUGGCUCAGUGCUGUUUGGCUAGCUGCACCGAAACUGGAAAAUCCAGCUGUUACCUGCAAUGUUUGGGGUUGCACCUGAUGAAUGAGCACAGUGUGGAGGAGAGCCUGUCUGUGUCACCAGACUGACAGCUUGGAGUCCAGCACUCUCAUUUUAGUGUCCUUAUUAUCCCAUGAG